GUGGUGUAGAUGAGGCUGGGUCUAGUCAUGCAAUAGAUAGUGGGGUAGCUGAGGCUGGGUCUAGUCAGGUUAUGGAGGGUGGUGUAGAUGAGGCUGGGUCUAGUCACGCUAUGGGGGGUGGUGUAGAUGAUACUGGGUCUAGUCAGGUUAUGGGGGUGGUGUAGAUGAUACUGGGUCUAGUCAAGUUAUGGGGGUGGUGUAGAUGAUACUGGGUCUGGUCAGGUUAUGGGGGUGGUGUAGAUGAGGCUGGGUCUAGUCAGGUUAUGGAUGGUGGUGUAGAUGAGGCUGGGUCUAGUCAGGUUAUGGAUGGUGGUGUAGAUGAGGCUGGGUCUAGUCAGGUUAUGGAUGGUGGUGUAGAUGAGGCUGGGUCUAGUCAGGUUAUGGAUGGUGGUGUAGAUGAUGCUCAAGGAGAUGGAUGCUCCCAGCUCCUUCUUCUUUGGUUUGGAAAGACAGAGUGGUGAAGCCAAGGGUAUGCAUUGUCUACGGCUGUCUGAUGGGCGGAUAACCUCUGUGGUGGGGGAGAUGCAGCUGUCUGAUGGGCGGGUGACCUCUGUGGUGGGGAGAUGUGGCUGUCUGAUGGGCGGAUAACCUCUGUGGUGGGGGAGAUGCAGCUGUCUGAUGGGCGGGUGACCUCUGUGGUGGGGAGAUGUGGCUGUCUGAUGG
ensembl:lncRNA